rnacentral:snRNA from 1 species
UUUUUAUGGUCGUUGUUAU